CGGGCAGUAGCGCAGCUCGGUUAGCGCACUAGACUGGGGGUCUAGGGGUCGCAGGUUCAAAUCCUGUCUGCCCGA
rnacentral:tRNA from 1 species